rnacentral:misc_RNA from 1 species
GAUGAAGAACGUAGCGAAAUGCGAUAAGUAAUGUGAAUUGCAGAAUUCCGUGAAUCAUCGAAUCUUUGAACGCACAUUGCGCCCUCUGGUAUUCCGGGGGGCAUGCCUGUCCGAGCGUCAUUUCAACCCUCAUGCCCCUAGGGCGUGGUGUUGGGGAUCGGCCAAAGCCCGCGAGGGACGGCCGGCCCCUAAAUCUAGUGGCGGACCCGUCGUGGCCUCCUCUGCGAAGUAGUGAUAUUCCGCAUCGGAGAGCGAUGAGCCCCUGCCGUUAAACCCCCAACUUUCCAAGGUUGACCUCAGAUCAGGUAGGAAUACCCGCUGAACUUAAGCAUAUCAAUAAGCGGAGGA